ensembl:lincRNA E130006D01Rik RIKEN cDNA E130006D01 gene
GAGAGCCACCGGGCUCUGGGCUGCGGAGGAGGUUGGAGGUGACCUUCCAGAAGGAACGUGGGACAAGGGAGCAAGUGAGGACCUGGUGGGUAGUGGUUACUCUGUGAGAAGCCAGCAGCACCAACCAAAUAGAAGGUGGAGAAGUGGCCCCCAGCUUCCCAGUUUGGGUUUGGGCCAAGACAACUAAGAAAAGGGUCCACCGUCUUCACUCCAGGUCAGAUGACCCUGCAUUGUAUCAAGUAGAAAAAUGUCUAACCAAGACAGAGGAGAAUACGAACCCUCUCAGCUCAUAGACAGGUGAUGAUGUGGUUUCCAACUGACUUUCAAGCAAACAGAUUUCCAAGCGUGCUUGAAGAGGGCAGUAAAUGAGAAGGCACAAGACUCUUACUCUGAAGGAGGACGAUCAGAACGGCAUAGCUGCCUUCUUGGCCUGUCACAGAAUUAAAUGGCAAAGGGUUCCGAGGACUAUCUAGCAUAUACUGCUGUCACUACAGGGGCGUGGUCUGUAAGAGGGAUAACCCAGCCCCCUAAUAAGGCAAGCAUGUCAUUUUCUGUGACAGAUGCAAGAAGAGAGAGGGGUUUGCUGGAAAUCGUGGCUGACCACCUCAGAAGGACCCAGAAGACCCGAACUUUCUGGUUUUGCCUUUCACCUUGCUCUGAAACUUCUCCCAACACUGGAAGACAAGAAAGUUCCGCCCUACCUCCGCCCCACCUCCGCCCCCCGGACCAGGGAGAUUCUUCUCUUUGGGCAAGCAGGCUUGCUGGGCAAUCGUGAGCUGCUGAGUUCCCAUCCCCAUAGAAAGCUGGACAUGGACAUGCAUGCCUGUUUCUGCAGCAUGCUCAACUCCAGGAGCUCUCUGGUCUCCUAUAAAUAAAGGAUAACACAUUCGGCCUUCUUACCAUUUC